ensembl:snRNA U6 U6 spliceosomal RNA
AUGCUCCAUUUGGCAGCACAUAUGCUAAAAUUGGAAUGAUCCAGAGAAGUUUAGCAUAGCCCCUAUGCAAGGAUGACAUGCAAAUUUAUGAAAUGUUCCUUAUUAAA